rnacentral:rRNA from 1 species
AGUGAAGCGGGAUGAGCUCAAAUUUAAAAUCUGGCUGGUUUACUAGUCCGAAUUGUAGUUUAUAGAAGCGUUUUCGGUGGCAGCCUGGGUAUAAAUCCUUUGGAAUAGGGUAUCAUAGAGGGUGAGAAUCCCGUCUUUGACUCAGUGCAUGCUACUAUGUGAUACGUUUUCAAAGAGUCGAGUUGUUUGGGAAUGCAGCUCAAAAUGGGUGGUAAAUUUCAUCUAAGGCUAAAUAUUGGCGAGAGACCGAUAGCGAACAAGUACCGUGAGGGAAAGAUGAAAAGAACUUUGAAAAGAGAGUUAAACAGUGCGUGAAAUUGUUGAAAGGGAAACGCUUGACACCAGUCAUGCGAGUGGAAAAUCAGUCUUUUGCAGUGAGGAGUUGUGGGCGUUCAGACCGCAAGGCUGGCGUUUGCUUGAUUUUUGCUGUAAGUGAUGCACUUUUUCAUUUGCAGGUCAACAUCAGUUUGCUUUGCUGGACAAAACCCCAAGGGAAGGUGGCAGCUUAGGCUGUGUUAUAGCCCUGGGGCGAUACAGUGGAGUGGACUGAGGUUUUUGCAGUGUGUGCUUUCGGGCAAGGCUGACUGGGUGCUAUGGGAUCGUUCGGCGUACAAUGCUUGCAUUUUGCGUCGUGUCCUUUUCAUACUCGCUCAACUCGGCUCUUCCACACUUAGGAUGUUGACUUAAUGGUUUUAAUCGACCCGUCUUGAAACACGGACCAAGGAGUCUAACAUAUAUGCAAGUGUUUGGGUGGCAAACCCAUGCGCGUAAUGAAAGUGAACGUAGGUGCCAUCCGCAAGGUGCAGCAUCGACCGAUCUUGAUAUUUUUUGGAUAGAUUUGAGUAAGAGCAUAUAUGCUGGGGACCCGAAAGAUGGUGAACUAUGCCUGAAUAGGGUGAAGCCAGAGGAAACUCUGGUGGAGGCUCGUAGCGAU